UGCCAGCCGCCGCGGUAAUACGGAGGGUGCAAGCGUUGUUCGGAAUUAUUGGGCGUAAAGAGCAUGUAGGCGGACUGUUAAGUCUGAUGUGAAAGCCCGGGGCUCAACCCCGGAAGUGCAUUGGAUACUGGCAGUCUUGAGUAUGGGAGAGGAAAGUGGAAUUCCGAGUGUAGGAGUGAAAUCCGUAGAUAUUCGGAGGAACACCAGUGGCGAAGGCGGCUUUCUGGACCAAUACUGACGCUGAGAUGCGAAAGCGUGGGGAGCGAACAGGAUUAGAUA
rnacentral:rRNA from 1 species